rnacentral:rRNA from 1 species
UACGUAGGGUGCAAGCGUUGUCCGGAAUUAUUGGGCGUAAAGAGCUCGUAGGCGGUUUUGUCGCGUCUGCUGUGAAAUCCCGAGGCUCAACCUCGGGCCUGCAGUGGGUACGGGCAGACUAGAGUGCGGUAGGGGGAGAUUGGAAUUCCUGGUGUAGCGGUGGAAUGCGCAGAUAUCAGGAGGAACACCGAUGGCGAAGGCAGAUCUCUGGGCCGUAACUGACGCUGAGGAGCGAAAGCGUGGGGAGCGAACAGG